AGUGGCGACACACCCGAGUGCAAAUCGGAAGACGGACCCCAAAGGGUCCCGGGGCUU
rnacentral:tRNA from 1 species